UAAUGACUGGGAUCUGCGGGGUCGUCACACCCGAUACUUUGGAUACCAUGCAUACCAAAGUUUCCCUGCAGGCGUUUACAAAACGUUUUUACAAAUUUGUAUUGUUGUUCGUACGAAUUUCCGGUAGUUUUUUAGUGUUUUGUUGCAGAUAAUUGAGCCACUAUAAUAAUGUUUGUUGUGCCUCGAUCCCCGGCGUCUCGAUUAAUAGCUAAAGCGACGGACAUCAAGACGGAAACGUUACCUGUCCACCGAAACUUUAUACGUUUUUGUGUACCUAAAGUGAGGAUUCGGUUU